rnacentral:rRNA from 1 species
CGUCAAAUCAUCAUGCCCUUUAUGGUCUGGGCUACACACGUGCUACAAUGGCGGCGACAAAGGGAGGCAAACCCGCGAGGGGGAGCGAAUCCCAAAAAAGCCGUCCCAGUUCGGAUUGCAGUCUGCAACUCGAGUGCAUGAAGCUGGAAUCGCUAGUAAUCGCGAAUCAGAAUGUCGCGGUGAAUACGUUCCCGGGUCUU